CCUACGGGUGGCAGCAGUGAGGAAUAUUGGUCAAUGGGCGCGAGCCUGAACCAGCCAAGUAGCGUGAAGGAUGACUGCCCUACGGGUUGUCAACUUCUUUUAUAAAGGAAUAAAGUGAGGCACGUGUGCCUUUUUGUAUGUACUUUAUGAAUAAGGAUCGGCUAACUCCGUGCCAGCAGCCGCGGUCAUAAGGAGGAUCCGAGCGUUAUCCUGAUUUAUUGGGUUUAAAGGGAGCGUAGAUGGGUGGGUAAGUCAGUUGUGAAAGUUUGCGGCUAAACCGUAAAAUUGCAAUUGAUACUGGCAGUCUUGAGUACAGUUGAGGUAGGCGGAAUUCGUGGUGUAGCGGUGAAAUGCUUAGAUAUCACGAAGAACUCCGAUUGCGAAGGCAGCUUACUAAACUGACACUGACAUUGAUGCUCGAAAGUGUGGGUAUCAAACAGGAUUAGAUACCCCGGUAGUC
rnacentral:rRNA from 1 species